rnacentral:tRNA from 4 species
GCCGCUGUGGCGGAAUUGGCAGACGCAAGGGACUUAAAAUCCCUCGAUGGAAACAUCGUACCGGUUCAACCCCGGUCAGCGGCACCA